CGGGACGGGUGAGUAACGCGUGGAUAACCUGCCUUACACUGGGGGAUAACACUUAGAAAUAGGUGCUAAUACCGCAUAAGCGCACAGCCCCGCAUGGGGGAGUGUGAAAAACUCCGGUGGUGUAAGAUGGGUCCGCGUCUGAUUAGCUAGUUGGCAGGGUAACGGCCUACCAAGGCAGCGAUCAGUAGCCGGCCUGAGAGGGUGGACGGCCACAUUGGGACUGAGACACGGCCCAGACUCCUACGGAAGGCAGCAG
rnacentral:rRNA from 1 species